CCUGGCUCAGAGUGAACGCUGGCGGUAGGCCUAACACAUGCAAGUCGAACGGCAGCACAGGAGAGCUUGCUCUCUGGGUGGCGAGUGGCGGACGGGUGAGGAAUACAUCGGAAUCUACUCUUUCGUGGGGGAUAACGUAGGGAAACUUACGCUAAUACCGCAUACGCCCUUCGGGGGAAAGCAGGGGAUCGCAAGACCUUGCGCGAUUGAAUGAGCCGAUGUCGGAUUAGCUAGUUGGCGGGGUAACGGCCCACCAAGGCGACGAUCCGUAGCUGGUCUGAGAGGAUGAUCAGCCACACUGGAACUGAGACACGGUCCAGACUCCUACGG
rnacentral:rRNA from 1 species